GCAUAGGCACAGAAAUGGUCCAAGUCGUCUAUCCUUUCGAGGAGAAUAGCACUCCAGUAAUCAUCACUGGCAUCUGUCUGUAGAAUGCGUUGUCCAAUUGUGGGAAUUCUGAGUGGAGGAGGUGAUUGAGCUAUCACUUUCAGCUGCUUGACUAGGGGUGUCAAAAAAACCCGCCCGGAUCGGAUCCGGCCCGAACCCGGCCAAUCCGGUCCGGGCAAAACCCGGACCGCAUAUACAGAAAAAGCGGAUCCGGGUUUUAGAAUUUAAAACCCGGACAUAUCCGAGCACGGUCCGGGUUCAGAACCCAAAACCUAAAACCCGGACCCGGACCCGUUUUCCCAAUUGAAAAAAAAAAAAAAAACUAAACCAGUUACCUACCCAAACCCAAAUCACAAAACCAAAUCCGAAAAUCCCUAAUUCCCCAAAUCGUAAAACACCCAACCCAAAGGUAUAAGCUGAGCAGCGACGCUGCCACCGUCACCGUCGGCUAGCACCCACCGUCACCGUCGGCAUCAUCUCUUCUCGUUUGCAUUUGCUGACUCGGUUUUGCUCAGUUGCGGCUGUGACGGGAGUCGUUCGUGCAGCGGCAGCAGCGCAGUGCAUCCCCCUCCGGCGCCGUCAGCGUCAGCGCCACCGUCUCCAACUCUCCAUUGCCACUUUGUCAUCCACCAUCAGUCUAUCACUCUGCCAUCACAGCCACCACUACCAGCCGCAGGUAUUGAUUUUUUUCCUUCCAUAUUUUGUCUUCCCAAUUGCAUUUUUGCCGAUUGCUUCUCUGUUGGUGUUGGCUGUUGCUAUUUGUGUUUAUUUUCGGUCAAUUUUGUGCAUGGUUGCUGACUUGCUGUUGCUGUGAGAGUGUGAGGCUAAGUGGUUUUGACCGUAGAAUAUGAGGAAAAUAUGGCCAAUUUUAUGAGGGAUCCUUAUUGCCUGCUCGUGUAAUACUUAAUUUUAAUGAUUUGCAUACAUCUAUCAUUUUGCAUUUUAGCUGCGUGGGAUGAAAGCUAGCUAGAUAAGGUAAUAAGGUUCACUGGUUUGUAUAUAGUGUAAAAUUUAUUUGAGCCAUCACCAGUCAAGCAGUCAUCACUCUUCAAUUUCAAGAGUCUGAAUAUUGAAUAAUCUGGCCCUAAAAUGCAUCAGCAAACGCACACAGCAUAUGAUUAUAUGAUGAAACUAGGGGGUUUGUGUCGAGAUUUGUUGGGUUAUACUAUUGAAGUGGAUUUUUAAUGUUAUAUUACAACUGGUUAUUCACUUGUUUGUAUGAUUUUGCUUCUGUUGGCUAUGUGAACCUCUCUGCCCAACUUGAUUUGAUUUGACAACAAAGUAAAACCAGACAAUAUUUUAAUUUUUAUGUUGAAUCCAAAAAUGAUAUCAUCAAAUAAUACAAAUUUGUAUGCCAUUUCCCUGUUUCAGUCAGUUUACUUCCAGCUCAUACUCUCACAUUUAUUGUUAAGUAUAUGGUUGCUGACUUGCUGUGAGCCUGUGAUUACUGUAACUGUUGCUCUUUUUUUUGGGCCAAAUCCUGUUGCCUUUUUUAAUUUUAUGUUGCUGACUUGCUGUGAGCCUGUUAGUUUUAUGUCUCGGUCUCUCUUUUCUGUUCACUUUUUCGUUUCCACACUAAAAUCUGAAAUUUAGUAUAUCUUUGCUAUUGUAACAGUAGAGUAGUGCAAUGUCGGACAACGUAGAAAUCAAUUCUUCGAGUGCUCCAGAUUUAUCUCGUAAUGUCGAAGAUAAAAUUGAUAAUGAGGUUGAGGAAAUUUCAGUAUCAACUGUGAAUGAUAAGAGAAGUAAGGAAGAAACUAGAAAAAAGAAGAAAGUCUCCGAAGCUUGGGAGCACUUUACAAAAAUAAUGGUAAAUGGAGAACAAAAGGCAAAGUGCAUGCAUUGUAGUGCAAUUUUAAAAGCAAAAUACCAAUCGGGGACUUCAACUUUGAAUAGACACGUGGCAAUGUGUUUUAAGCAGAAUCAACCAAACAUAGAAGAAGCACUUCAAGGAAGCCUUAAAGUGAUUAAAAGAGAGGAUGGAACUUGUGGCAUUAGUUAUGGCAGUUUUGAUCAAAAUGUUUUACGGAGUUUGAUAGCAAGAAUGGUUAUAAUGCAUGAGCUUCCACUUAGAUUCGUGGAAUAUAUAGGCUUCCGAGAAAUGAUGGCACAUGCUAACCCCGUGGUUAAGCCAAUGAGCAGAAACACUUUGAAGAGCGAAAUCUUGAAGUUAUAUCAAAUCGAGAAGGUUAAGACUUUGCAUUUAUUGGGGAAAAAUCAUGGUAGAGUGGCCAUUACUACGGAUUUAUGGACAGCUAGUAAUCAGAAAAAGGGAUAUAUGGUCGUGACGGCCCAUUUCAUUGAUAAUUCCUGGAAAUUGCAUAGUCGAAUCUUAAGGUAAUUUGUCUAUAAUUUUUUGGAAUGCUUAAUUUAAUUUUUCUUUUAAGUUUAUUAUUACUUAUAUUAGAUUUUUUUUCAAGUUUAAAUUGUAAUAUAUUUUAAGUUUGUGUAUUUAAUACCGACUUUUGAAUAUUUGAUAGGUUCAUCUAUGUUCCAAGUCCCCAUACUGCUGAUGCCCUAUGUAAUGAGUUAGUACAAUGCCUAUUGGAUUGGAACGUGGAUAGAAAGUUAUCCUCAGUGACAUUGGAUAAUUGUACCACUAAUGACGCAAUGGUGGAGAAAUUGCUGUUAAGGUUUGAUACUGAUGCCUUAAUUUCUAGUGGUAAAUUUUUUCAUAUGAGAUGUACUGCUCAUAUAUUGAACUUGGUUGUGCGGGAUGGGUUGAAAGUUAUAGAAAGUGGGAUUGGAAAGAUUAGAGAGAGUGUGAGUCAUUGGACACAAACACCAAAAAGAUAUGAAACUUUUAUUUUCCUAAGAUAUAUGGUGAUACAGCAGAUGAGCUUAUUGAGUGUGCACAUAAGCUUUGUUAUGAUUUAGUGAAAGAAUAUGAAUCGAAGGCAGCGCAUGUGAGUGGUGGGCAGAACGUUGGAUUGGAAAUUUCUCGUUCUGAAUCUUGUUCGAAUUCGAAUAAGUAUUGGGAUGUAGAUGAGUUUGAAACAUUUCGAAGCCAAAAUAAACGUGCUAAGGUAACUAAGUCGGAGUUGGAUAGGUAUUUAGAUGAGGAAUUAUUGGAUUCCAUUCUGGACUUUGAUAUUUUAGCGUUUUGGAAGAUGCACACAAGCCAAUAUCCUAUUUUGGCUGAGUUAGCUAAGGAUAUCUUAGCCAUUCCUGUAUCCACCGUUGCCUCUGAGUCAGCUUUUAGUGCCGGGGGCAGAUUUUUGAGUUUGCAUCGUAGUAAACUUCUUCCUGACACUUUAGAAGCCUUAAUUAGAUUUUUGAGUCCGCACCAUAGUAAACUUCUUCCUAACACUUUAGAAGCCUUAAUGUGUGCUCAAAAUUGGAUUUGGGCUUCUACUUUUCGAGGUAUAAAGUUAUUUGAAUCAUAUUUUAGUAGUAUUUAUUUGCUUGAAAUGCUUUGAAUUUUAAUGUGUUAUUUUUGUUGUAAGGUGGAGUUCCGGAGGAUGAGAUUUUUACUGGGGAGGAGGUAAUUUCGGAUGAUGAUGAUGAGCCACAAGCGUCGACAAGUAGUAUGACAUGAACGUUUAUUUAUUUAUUUGGAAUUAGACAUGAACUUGUUAUUUAUUUAUUUUACAUGGGAGUGUUUUGACUCUUUUAUGAACUAUUUUUUGAGUUGUUGAACAUUUUAGGAUUUUCAUGUGUUGUAUUGAUAAUUGGUGUCAUUAUUAUGAACUUAUGAUAUAUGUUGGAUGUUAUUUAGAUUUAUUGGGUUAUUGGAUUUAAUUUUUUUUUAUAUAUAGAUUGAAUGAGUUUAGGUUAGAAGUUAGAUGAAUUUUUAUUUAUUAUUUGUGCAAAAUUGGUAUUGUUAGUAUGUUAUAAGUUUGUAUUUAACUAUUUCUCUAAUUUUUCUUUGACUUAAGUUUGAGAUUUAUCUUGUAUUAUGAUACACAAGAAAUGUGCAUGCGUGUUGUAUUGUUGUUUCACUUGUUUGGUGAUAUUUAUUUUGGCUGCAGCCGCAUUAGCUUAUCAAGUGAAUUAUAAAGUUGUUUUCGAGUCAAUAACAAGUUGUUGUGCCGACUGCAGAGUCAGAGUGCAGAUGUACAUGUACACACAUUAACGGAGGACUAAGCUUAUUGUUUAAUUAAUUAAGUUGCUUGGUGCAUGCCACUUACCAUCUGCCGCUUUGACCAUUAUUGGAUAACUUCUACCAAUUUGUUACAUCUUAAUCAAAUUUAUUUUCAAUUUAAGAUAGUUGUAUGACUCUACUGAUUAAAAGGGAGCCAUUGUUUAUUUUCAAUUUAUUUUUAAUAUGUUACAUCUUAAUAAAAAUGAAAGAAUUUUUUUUUUGAAAUAUUUGUUUGCGGGCUUAGAAGCCCGGAAGACAAAACCCGGACCCAGGACACGCCGGGCUCAAGCCCGGACCGAACAUACAAAAACCGGGUUUUGUCCGGGUCCGGGUUUUAAUUUUUGGCAUCCGGUCCGGUCCCGGGUUGCACCAAACCCGGACCGGACCCGGGGUUUUGCCAAGCCUA
rnacentral:lncRNA from 1 species